UACGGAGGGUGCAAACGUUGCUCGGAAUCAUUGGGCGUAAAGCGCACGUAGGUGGCUUGUUAAGUCGGGUGUGAAAUCCCUGGGCUCAACCCAGGAAGUGCACUCGAAACUGGCGAGCUUGAGUACUGAAGAGGGUCGCGGAAUUCCCGGUGUAGAGGUGAAAUUCGUAGAUAUCGGAAGGAACACCGGUGGCGAAAGCGGCGCGCUGGACCUCUUCUGACGCUGAGGCGCGAAAGCCAGGGGAGCAAACGGG
rnacentral:rRNA from 1 species